rnacentral:rRNA from 1 species
AUAGCAUGCUGUCUAGAUCGCUAGGAAAGGUUCACGCCUGUUUACGAGUAAUCUGCGGAAGGCUCAUUAUAACAGUUACAAACUUAGCUACUAGCUUCUUUUAUAAGGAUAACACAGUCAAAUGCAGUGAUAAUACUUGAAUCAACGUCAGUGAAUUGUAUAGCUGACAAACAGUAGCAAACAAACGGAAGGUGUGCUACAACAUCUCUUCGGAGAUGGGUUGACCACAGUAUUGUGGCCUAGAAGAAGUAUUUCUUCCUUAUCAGCUAGUUGUUUCAGUAAGGGUGAAACAAGGCUAUCACGGGUACGGGGAAUCAGUGUUUGAUUCCGGAGAGGGAGCCUGAGAAAUGGCUACUACAUCUAAGGACGGCAGCAGGCGCGAAAAUUACCCAAUCCUAACAUUUGGGAGGUAGUGACAAGAAAUAACGUCCUUACAUUACAAGUGGAAGGGUACCGCAAGGUUUGGAAUGGUUCUAGUUCAAACUUCUAUUAGAGUAACAAUU